AUAAGGAAACAGGGGUGCUUUUAAGCUGAGAUGAUACCCUUUGACCUGAUACAGUUAGUACUGUCGUAGGGAGUUUUAUAUAUUUUUUA
rnacentral:ncRNA from 1 species